UAUUUUGGAAACACGAGAUCUAGAUCUAAGGUUCGACGUACUCAACAACACUCCGAUGACCACACAAACGCACUCAGGUGAAGCUAUUACCCUCUCUUACACACUCUGGUGAAGCGCUAACGCAUUCCGGUGAAAGUAUGACCGUCUCUAACGCACUCCGUUGAAGCUUAGACCCUCUCUGUGGCACUCCGGUGAAGCGCUGACGCACUCCGGUGAAUCUCAUAUGCCGUACAAAAGUAAACGGACUCGGAUGGAAACGGAAACAAAGCUCUGACUGGAUUUGGCGUAGACAUCGGUGUAUUGACUAAUUGAUGUUUACAAAGGCCCGUAGAGUAAACUGCAGGAAACUAUGGACUUAUUUGCUGAGAAGUAGGAAUCACUUUACACAGCUUCAGGAGUUAGUCAUUGUAUGUGAUACAUGUUGGUGAAAUGUUUCAUGAGCCGGUGUACAUGUUAACCGGUGUACAUCUGGAUAUUUAUGAGCCGGUACAUGUUAACCGGUGUACACGUGGAUGCUAACAGAUGUAUUGGAAACAUAUAAAUAUUUGGCUAGCGUUUCAUCGGACAUCAAUUCAACCACUUAUUUGUGCCAA